UAUCAUUAUUAUUAUUAUUAGUAGUAGUAGUAGUAGUAGUAUAAAAAAAACGUAGCUUAUAAGAUUUACAGUUCGCAUAAGGAAAGUGUUUUCGGAGUGUGCUGGACAAGCAUGAUUUGCUGUAUAUUAAACAAAUGAGCAAGUACGUGGUACACAAACGUAUAUAAUUAAAAACAAAUGAAAAAAAAAUGAAAGGCAUCUAAAUGCUACAAUAGAGUGCCAAGUGUUAUGUGAUGAUGUUUUGAGUGAGAAUGCUUUUUUUUUUUAUUGUUUCGCACAAUUUAUGAAACAGGAAAGGGUUUGUUAGACAAAGUUGGAUUUAUAGACAUAUCGUCAAACAAAAAAGCAAGCCAACAAGCAAAUCAACAAAUAAAUAAGUAAAUAAAUAAUAAGUAAACAAGUAAUACAAAAAGUAAGUACAUAAACAAUAAAUAAAUAAACAAAUAAAUAAAUACAUAAAUAAAUAAAUAUGCUAGAGUAAAACAUCAAACACACUUUCAUUUGUAUUGUUUAACCUUAAAGCCACUAUAACUCACAACCACCAUACUUUACAAUUGGAUAUUAGAUAUGUAAUGACUAAACAUAAUAUCGGUUGUUUUUACUAAUGAAAAGUAAGCAAUUGUUUGCAUAUGCCCGGCAAUGGCAGGGCAUUCCUCAGUUAUGAAGGAAUACUCAGGAGAAUAUUAAUGCUUGUGUGGAGAAAGUAGCUCGUUGCUGUCUAUACCGUAAUCGAUUACACCAAGAAAAGUUGGUAGUUUUUGUUUAAUGCCUGUUGUAGCCGAUACUGGACUACUAUAUACGACCAAGCAUCUUACCAACCCCCUCAGCCUUUGUGCUGAAGUUGGCUUGAGGUCUCGGGAGGUCCUGCAAGUGACAGUUCUGUGAAUAGCGGGUAGAUGGCACAAUUUUCUAACAUUUAAAAUGAGGAACCCACCGAGACGAGGGCAGCGAAUACAUUUUGAAGCAGUUAAUUCAAAUGAAAAGAUGACUCUGACAGACAGGUUGAAUGGCACAUCUAAGUGGAGCAUUAUGUUUAGUUUAUG
ensembl:lncRNA